rnacentral:rRNA from 1 species
AGUGAACGCUGGCGGUAGGCCUAACACAUGCAAGUCGAACGGCAGCACAGUAAGAGCUUGCUCUUACGGGUGGCGAGUGGCGGACGGGUGAGGAAUACAUCGGAAUCUACUUUUUCGUGGGGGAUAACGUAGGGAAACUUACGCUAAUACCGCAUACGACCUACGGGUGAAAGCAGGGGAUAUUCGGACCUUGCGCGAUUGAAUGAGCCGAUGUCGGAUUAGCUAGUUGGCGGGGUAAAGGCCCACCAAGGCGACGAUCCGUAGCUGGUCUGAGAGGAUGAUCAGCCACACUGGAACUGGAACACGGUCCAGACUCCUAAGGGAGGCAGCAGUGGGGAAUAUUGGACAAUGGGCGCAAGCCUUAUCCAGCCAUACCGCGUGGGUGAAGAAGGCCUUCCGGUUGUAAAGCCCUUUUGUUGGGAAAGAAAAGCAGCAGGUUAAUACCCCGCUGUUCUGACGGUACCCAAAGAAUAAGCACCGGCUAACUUCGUG